rnacentral:rRNA from 1 species
GAUGAACGCUGGCGGCGUGCUUAACACAUGCAAGUCGAACGAAGCUAUUAAAAGGAAGUUUUCGGAUGGAAUUUUAAUCGACUUAGUGGCGGACGGGUGAGUAACGCGUGGAUAACCUGCCUUAUACAGGGGGAUAACGGAGAGAAAUUUCCGCUAAGACCGCAUAAGACCACAGCACCGCAUGGUGCAGGGGUAAAAUAUUUAUAGGUAUAAGAUGGAUCCGCGUCCGAUUAGCUAGUUGGUGAGGUAGAGGCUCACCAAGGCGACGAUCGGUAGCCGGCCUGAGAGGGUGAACGGCCACAUUGGGACUGAGACACGGCCCAAACUCCUACGGGAGGCAGCAGCGGGGAAUAUUGGACAAUGGGGGGAACCCUGAUCCAGCGACGCCGCGUGAGUGAAGAAGUAUUUCGGUAUGUAAAGCUCUAUCAGCAGGGAAGAAAAUGACGGUACCUGACUAAGAAGCCCCGGCUAACUACGUGCCAGCAGCCGCGGUAAUACGUAGGGGGCAAGCGUUAUCCGGAUUUACUGGGUGUAAAGGGAGCGCAGACGGCGAUGCAAGUCUGAAGUGAAAGGCGUGGGCUCAACCCAUGAACUGCUUUGGAAACUGUAUAGCUUGAGUGUCGGAGGGGUAAGCGGAAUUCCUAGUGUAGCGGUGAAAUGCGUAGAUAUUAGGAGGAACACCGGAGGCGAAGGCGGCUUACUGGACGACAACUGACGUUGAGGCUCGAAGGCGUGGGGAGCAAACAGG